UACGAAGGGGGCUAGCGUUGCUCGGAAUCACUGGGCGUAAAGGGUGCGUAGGCGGGUCGUUUAAGUCAGGGGUGAAAUCCUGGAGCUCAACUCCAGAACUGCCUUCGAUACUGCGGGUCUCGAGUCCGGGAGAGGUGAGUGGAAUUCCUAGUGUAGAGGUGAAAUUCGUAGAUAUUAGGAAGAACACCAGUGGCGAAGGCGGCUCACUGGCCCGGUACUGACGCUGAGGCGCGAAAGCGUGGGGAGCGAACAGG
rnacentral:rRNA from 1 species